GCCCGCCUAGCUCAAUCGGAUAGAGCGUCAGAUUCUUACAGGCGGGUUCAUUUCAACUUCGGAAUCUGAAGGCUGCGAGUUCGACCCUCGCGGUGGGCU
rnacentral:tRNA from 1 species